rnacentral:rRNA from 1 species
CCUACGGGAGGCAGCAGUGAGGAAUAUUGGUCAAUGGACGCAAGUCUGAACCAGCCAUGCCGCGUGCAGGAUGACGGCUCUAUGAGUUGUAAACUGCUUUUGUACGCGGGUAAACCCCGAUACGUGUAUCGGGUUGAAAGUAUCUUACGAAUAAGGAUCGGCUAACUCCUUGCCAGCAGCCGCGGUAAUACGGAGGAUCCGAGCGUUAUCCGGCUUUAUUGGGUUUAAAGGGUGCGUAGGCGGGUUGAUAAGUUAGAGGGGAAAUGUCGGGGUCCACCCCCGGAACUGCCCCUAAUCCUGUUGGACUAGAGAAUAGUUGCGGUAGGCGGAAUGUAUGGUGUAGCGGUGAAAUGCUUAGAGAUCAUACAGAACACCGAUUGCGAAGGCAGCUUACCAAACUAUAACUGACGUUGAGGCACGAAAGCGUGGGUAGCAAACAGGAUUAGAUACCCGUGUAGUC